UAUAAUGCAUUACUUAUAAUACUUGAUAUUAUAGAUAUAUAUUCCUAUCAAAAAUAUAUUUGCAAAAUGAAUAAAUGAAUAAAACUUACUUAUAAUAACAAAACUACUAAACGAAAAGAAUACAUUAUAAUAGGUAAAUUAUGGAGACGUGUAACUGUGUAGUGUGACUGUAUGUACAACGUUGCUAUGUGUGCAAAUCUCAGCCUCUCAGCGUUCAAUAUGUGCGAAAGAAAAGUGCGUCUAUCUCGUUCUGCCAUGAACCGCUCGGCGCGGCGCUCGCUUAAUACUGGCUACGGCAGUCGCCGGUGACGCGUCCGCGCAUCAACCGCAACUCAAAAACAACCUCAGUUUCGACAAAAUAGAUCGUUCAUUUAUAAUAAUAUUGGACAACAAACAAUACAUUCAAUAAUAAUGAUUAAUAAUAGGAUUCAAUUAAUAUUAAUAGUACCUAAUCGUCAGCAAACCGAGCACAAACAAAAGAGUUAGACCAGACCGCAUCCGUUAAUGCUUGGAAUGUAACCGCUGAUGCCUCGCGUGUCGAACCUAUUGGACAACGAACCGGCGGCGGCAGAUCGUUCCAGCAUUUGGAUGCGGCGAACCUGAAACUCCCGCGGAAGGCGACAGUACGAUGGGGCGGCACAAUCAGGGCAUAUUCCCGUGACCGCGUCUUGUACGACUGCACACUGUUUAUUGUUUUUAACGAAUUUAACGUACCUAGUAUAGUAUUUGGCUGUAUGGGUUAUGUUUCCUUUGCCUGUCCUAUGUACAAAAUAACCAAAAAAAACUAAACAUAAUGGUCUUAUGGUCUCGUUCUGUGGUCUCGUCUCGUUGCCGAGAAGUUCUCUUGAUAAUUUCCUGUGCUACUUUGUUAGAAUUUGUAGCUUACAAGUUCAUCAUGCGAGAGCGUCGACAUUCUACUGUAAAAACUUCCAGAGCCAUUGCGUGUUUUGGAUAGAGCCGAUAUGAUAAAAAGUUUCUGGAUAAUAUUCGUUGAUAAAUUGCAAUGUGUGAAUGCUGAUCGACUUUGUCAUACUAACUCAUACUAAGAGAUGUAAGCAACAAUAACAAGUUUCCUGAAGAAUGUUCCAAUCGGACAGUUGGAAACAAUUAUGUCUGUAUAAGUUCUGGAAUAUCUUUGGGAAAGCAGUCACGAAGAUAAAAUCACAGGCCAUGGGCUUAUGGAAAGAAGUGAAGAGUGGUAUUAUAUAGAAAAACAAUCUCCGAGAUAGAUGCCUGAUGGAUGCCCAUGUAUGCGUUGUUUGCAGGAUGAGCUCACCUCAAAAGCAUUAAUAUCUAGUGAACAUAAAAGCUGUGUUAGGUGUGUUGUUGCAAUGUAUAUAGUUCUAUUUAUUAACCCCCGACGCAAAAACAACGGGGUGUUAUAAGUUUGAAAUGUGUGUAUGUGUCUAUCUGUGGCAUCGUAGCUCCCAAACGGAUGAUCCAAUUUCUUCACCAUUUUUCAUAAUAAUUGAGUACUUUUGUUUUGUCGGGGGUUUUUUUUUGUUCAUAGAUGUUGGUAAACUAUGAGUUUAUAUCACUUUAUAAUUAUAAUUUAUAUUAUUAAAUCAUUAAAUAGAUAAAAACCUGUGAAUAUUUUAAUGUUAUUGUUAAGUUUAUUCUCUACCUACUUACUAAUAUAUUAUGUUACCAUAUUAAGUCUGUUCAAAAAUCAUAAAUAGGUACUUGUUCUUCUUCUAUCAUGUAGGUUGUGAAGUGGAUGACCAAUCUCAUCAACCAGGGUUAUUGCUGAGCCGCCAAUAUCGUUGGAUCAGCCAGCAAUGUCCUAACUGAAUCAGGGAUCACAAAGAAAUUUUUGUGUUUUGUCCCCACCGGGACUUGAACCUGGGACCUCCGGAAUGUUAGCCACUGGACCACAUAGGCCGAGAGUAUAUGGUUAAGUUGCUGUUUUAUUUCAACUAUUUAAUAUUUAAUUAAAUGUAGGAAUAUUUUGUAUGAGUAUGAAUUAUAUAAUAAAACAAAUUAUUUCUAAAAAUAUA